GCCUCUCCCUGUUAAUGUUUGUUAUUUUAUUGCAUUAGUAUUUUAAUUUUAUAUAAUUAAAUAAUUACCAAAUUCAGAUUUAAAAUUAAUUUUAAAUGGAUUAAACAAUCAAAACAUACAAACAAAAAAGAAUGAAGAAAUCACCAAAGUCAAUAUAUAGUUUUUAGACCUAACAUUUUGCCACAUUCUCUUUUUUGCUUUGUUUAAUAUAUUAAAAUUAAAUGAAUUUGGUAAUUAUUUAAUUCAUAAUCAUACAAUCAGUAACUGUCCCAUUUAACAAUGUUUUGUAGGGACGGCAACCAAAAUUAUCAAUUAAUUCACUCCAUAAUCAGUAUCAUGUAACAUAAUGUUUCAAAUCUACAUGUAAAUGCUGCGUGACUUUUACGUGUUUUAAUGUGCGUGCGCGUGAUCAUUCGAGUCGCAUUUGAACUGGAGCGGAGAAAGUUACCAUGGAAACGUCGCGGCACCUCUCAACUGACAAGCAGCGAACCCCAUCUCUCACUGUUGUUUUCACUACUUUCAGGUAAGUUUAGUCCCUAUAAUUACACAAAUAGUACAUAAAAAUAUUCCUGACACUUUCUUUAAUGUAAAUGACUGGCUUCCGUUGAAUAUUUACUUUAUAUAAAUGGUUUAGUGUCUUCGAAAAAGUUCGUUAGCAUCUCAACCGUUAGGCUAACAUUAACUAUAAGAGGUUAACUAACUUAUAGACGUGAACUCGUUUAAGUUUGGGCUUUUAAUCAUAUAUCUUAUGUGUAGAUGAGAGAUUUUGAUAGGUUUGUAAAGGUUUUGCUGGUAAGCUAAUUAAUUUAACCUAAAAGUAUGCACUGUACCGUUAAUCGGUGACGUCACGUACAUGGAGAGUGUAAAUGGGCUGAAACUAUUUAAAACACGUUUUGAUAUGUCAUGGUAAACAUUUCCAAACAUCUCAAACUUGUUUGAUCUUUCAUGGUAAAAUGGCUUUGACGUCCAAACAUAAGUGACAUUGUAUGAGCAUUACUGAAUAAGUAAGGUUAACAUUAAACCUAAAAAUGUAAAUUCUGUUAUCUUAAGAUUUCUUUGUGUGUAUAUUCUGUAUAUUAUUAUUUUUCUUUUCUGCAUUUCAACUCUGCUAUAGUUUAUUUAUAAUGUGCAUGCCAUUGUUUACUAAAUAUUGUUGGCUCUGUGACAAAUUGUUUUAUGUUCCCAGAUUUUUCCAUGCUGAUGUGCAGUUGAACAUCUUUAGACAUUGUGAACCAUGUGACUGGAUUUUUUGGGCGGAGCUAAAACAGGGGGUUUGAUGAUGCACUGGAGCCCCUGAGCAUCUGUCAGCGCCGACAUCUGUCAACAACAGUCUGCAGUAUGUGCCCACCAAUGAGUGAAGCCUGCUGAAGAAGACAGAGGACUGAGACAACACAUGCACUUGAACACAAACACACACCCUAUACAUCUGAGGUUUUUUUUCUUCAUGUGUAAUUUUAAUAUUUGCUUUUGUAUGUUUUAAACACUCAAUUUUCAGUGCACAUUUGGAAUGAAAUAAAAGCUCAAUUUGAAUUAGUUAAUUGUUUUCAUUUUGGGAAACAUGGCUAUAGGCCCUGCGGAAGAACAUGGUACUGUUUUCUGUGGUAUAUUGCUCAAUGAUUUUACAUGGGUUUCACAUGAAGUUACAGGUGUACAUGGGGUGUAACAUACAGGUUUGUCUGAGCUCAUCUAAAAUAUGAGUUAAAGUGUAAAGAGGAUUUGUGACUGUCACAAAUAGUUUAGAGCCAAUCACUGUAAAGCACUACACCUACAGUACAAAAGUGUGACACUUAAAGCCUCCAUUCUGCAGUUCAACUUCUGGAAAUGAAAAU